rfam:Micromonospora rifamycinica strain AM105 contig188, whole genome shotgun sequence.
CUCGCUGGGCUCAUAACCCAGAGGUCGCAGGUUCAAAUCCUGUCCCCGCUA